rnacentral:lncRNA from 1 species
CCUAACAUAUUCUACUCUCAUCUCUCUCUUCCUCUCUCUGCUAGUAGCCAUGGAUGCCGUCGACCGCCACUUCUUCCACCACAGGCGCAACCAUAGACGGAGAAGCCUCCCCUCUCCCUAUACCCUUCUUUUCUCUCUCUUCAUUUCCCGCCGGUGAAACGUGCCACCAUCACCAACAACCCUAUCUGUCAGCCGCCGCCGUUCUCUGGACAAUCGAUGCCACAACUACCGCCAGCCAAUCCAGCCGCUACCAUCGGCGUAAAUAGAGGCAAGCGGAAUGAGGCCCUCAUAUAAUGUCGGCCCCCUUUAUUGUACUAUGUUGUUAUUUUUUUUUGAUGUUCAACUGUUUUCCUUUUAAUUCACGGUUCCUUAAUUUCAAACUAGUGCUUUAGAAAAAAAAAUUAGUCUUAUUUUUGUUUUCAAAUUAUUAAUAUUUUCCAUGAUUAUUGAAUGCAAAUUUUGAAUUUUAUAUUUACUCUUAAGUAGAUUCGAUGCAAAAAUUAUGUUGGAAAAGCUGCAAAAUAGACGGGUUGUAUUUAUUGGGGAUUCAAUUGGAAGAAACCCGUGGGAGUCUCAUCUGCUUGUUGUCUUCUGCAAUUCCUUAUAAAAGCAAGAUAUAUGAAGUUAAUAGAAGUUCUAUUACAAAGCACACAGGUUUCUUAUUUUUGUUUUCAAAUUAUUAAUUUCUAAUACUAAUGAAUAUAUUACCUAAUUGAACUACUCCAAUCAGCUCCUUAACUAGUUCAAUCAAAAAAAUAAAAAACUAACCAACACUAGCACACAAUGACAACAAUAUCCAUAUAUUUUGGAACAUAUACAUUGCAUCAACUGAUCAUAAUACUGAAAGGAUGAAAACAAAUACUAUCAAAAAUUACAAAACAAAUAUACUAGAAAAACAUUCUGGAGCCAGUGAUUCUUUUAUUAUGGAAAAAAACAAACAUCAAGCAACUAAUAGUUAACACUUCUGUUUAUUUUUCCCAAUUUCAAUUUUGUUCCAUUUUCACAUAGAAACCACAGAACUUGGAUUGACAUGAAAUGUGAAUUAAUUACUUGAAAAUGGUUAAGUGUAAUGACUUGAAAUGUGAAUUAGUUAUUUGAAAAUGGUUAAGUGUAGUGACUUGAAAUGUGUACUAGUUAUUUGAAAAUGGUUUAGUGUAGUUACUUGAAAAUGGUUAAGUAUAUUGACUUGAAAUGUCAAUUAGCUAUUUGAAAAUGGUUUGAGUGUAGUGACUUGAAAUGUGUACUAGUGACUUGAAAUGUGAAUAAGUUAUUUAAAAAUUAUUAAGUGUAGUGACUUGAAAAUGAUGAAGUGUAGUUACUUGAAAUUGAGAACUUGUGACUUGAAAAUGAUUAAGUAUAGUGACUUGAAAUCUGUACUAGUGACUUGAAAAUGGUUAGGUUUAGUUACUUAAAAGUGGAUACAUAUAGUGACUUGCAAUGUGAAUUAGUUAUUUGAAAAUGAUUAAGUGUAGUGACUUGAAAUGUGUACUAGUGACUUGAAAAUUGUUACUACGUAUAGUUAUUUGAAAAUGGUUAAGUAUAGUGACUUAAAAAUGUGAAUUAGUUAAUUGAAAAUAGUUAAGUGUAGUGAUUUGAAAUGCUAGUACAUGACUUGAAAAUGGUUAAGUAUAGUGACUUGAGAUGUCAAUUAGCUAUUUAAAAAUGGUUAGAGUGUAGUGACUUGAAAUGUGAAUAAGUUAUUUGAAAAUUAUUAAGUGUAGUGACUUGAAAAUAGUGUAGUGUGGUUACUUGAAAUUGUAAACUUGUGACUUAAAAACGGUUACUAGUGACUUGAAAAUAGUUAAGUGUAGUUACUUAGAAUGUGAAUUAUUUACUUGAAAGUGGUUAAGUAUAGUGAUUUGAAAUGAAUGAUUAAGUGUAGUGACUUGAAAAUGGUUAAGUAUAGUUAUUUUAAAUGUAAAGUAGUUAUUUGAAAAUGGUUAAGUGUAGUGACUUGAAACGUGAAUUACUUAUUUGAAAAUGGUUAAGUGUAGUGACUUGAAAUAUGUACUAGUGACUUGAAAAUGGUUGAAGUGUAGUUACUUGAAAAUGCUUAAGUAUAGUGACUUGAAAUGUUAAUUAGCUAUUUGAAAAUGGUUUGAGUGUAGUGACUUGAAAUGUGUACUAGUGAAUAAGUUAUUUAAAAAUUAUUAAUUGUAGUGACUUGAAAAUGAUUAAGUGUAGUUACUUGAAAUUGUGAACUUGUGACUUGAAAAUGGUUAAGUGUAGUUACUUGAAAUUGUGAACUUGAUGCUUGAAAAUGGCUAAGUGUAGUUACUUGAAAUGUGUACUAAUAACUUUAAAAAAAUAAAGUAUAGUCACUUGAAAAUGAUUAAGUAUAUUGACUUGAAAUGUGAUUUAGUUAAUUGAAAAUAGUUAAGUGUAGUGAUUUGAAAUGUGUACUAGUAACUUGAAAAUAUUCUACGUGUGGUGACUUGCAAUGUUAAUUAGUUAUUUGAAAAUGGUUAAGUGUAGUUACUUGAAAUGUAUAUUAGUUAUUUGAAAAUGAUUAAGUAUAGUGAAAUAAAAUGUCAAUUAGAUAUUUGAAAAUGGUUUAAGUAUAGUAUCUUGAAAUGUAUACUAGUAACUUGAAAAUAUUAAGUGUAGUCACAUGAAAUAUGAACUAAUGACUUGAUUUUUAUAUGUUUUGAUGUAAGAGCUCGAAGUCAACUGCUAAAAAGAAAUCUCAGACACCUGUAGACUCCAAUGAAAAAACUUUAGGAUUGUUUAAGUGUUUUGGUGGUUGUUGGAUUAAUUAUUAAGUAUUUUGUAUUUUGGAUUGUUGUUGAUUUGAAUUACUUGAAUGUUUUGAUAAUGUUGUGCGUUGUAUGAUUAUUUUAGAAAUGUGUGUUGCAUAAGGCUGUAUAUAUUGAAUUGCAUUUUUAUUUGGCAGGUGGAAUGCAAAAAAUGCAGAUUUUUGCAUCAAAAAAAAAUACAGAAAAGCGACGGACAUGAUCCUUUUCAUCCGUCGCUUUUCUGAAAUUUUUUAAAAUAAAAUUUUUAAAAAGCCACGGCCAACGUCGCUUUUUUUCUUCAUUAUGAAGAACAAAAAGCGACGACCAAUGUUGCUUUUUUUUCUUCAUUAUGAAGAACAAAAUGCGACGGCCAACUUCACUUUUUUUCUUUAUUAAGAAGAACAAAAUGCGACGGCCAACGUCGCUUUUUGUCUUCACUAUGAAAAAAAAAUAUUUUUCUCAAAAUACGAUGGACAAUGUCCUUUUUUUUUUAAUCUUUCCUUCAAUAAAACGAUGUUAUGCGUCGUUUUUUGUUCAUCAUGUGUUCUUCACAUGAAGAACCAAAAACGACGCACAGCGUCACUUUUUCUAAAAAAAAGUAACUUGAUUUUUUUUUCAAAAAGAGACGCUCUCCGUCGUAAUAAAAGCGACACAUGCCGUUGUUUUCAAAAAACAACGCCCCUUUUUUAGACGAAAAAAAAGCGACGGAUUUUCGUCGAUUUUGCCCAAAACAGCGACGCUGGCCGUCGCUUUUUGGCAUUUUUUUAGUAGUGUUACUUCAUUUUUGAAGUGUAUAUGAUAGCAGUGCGUAAUAUGUCAGAAAGAAGACAAGUGAUUGAAUGCACGAAUAUAUGCGUGGAGGGACAAUGUGAUAAUGAUCAUCAAAAGUGAUGAUAUUUUCACACGCGAAUUAUGAUCAUAAGAUAUGUUAGAGAAAAAUUCUCUAGAUCAUAUGCCUCGAUUUGCUCCUGAAGUAGCAAUAUCAUAAAAAAGGUUAUAAGCUAUCAAUUUGAUAGGCUUAAGACACAAUUAUAUUUCAUUCAUGGGAAUGAGAAUUUUAAUUUUUAUAAGCAUAGAUCCAUUCCCUUAGUGAAUGUGAUGAUAUUUAGUGAAGCUUAUCGACAAACGUGAACUUGAUUGUGAUGGCUUCACAACCCACCUCUGGAUGAGGCAGAACAAACGAUAAGAGUUAUUUUGAAAUCAUCGAGAAGAGUUAUUUUGAAAUCUACUUCUAAAGUAGUAAAUCUGAAAUUUAUUCAUGUAAUAGUAAAUCUGAAAUUUACCAAAGUAAAAAAGUACAUGUCAUGGUAAACUUGGAGUUUGCUAGAAUAAAAGUUCAUAAGUUGACAUGAACGAUUAUGACAUCCUGAAGAUGUGCAUAUUGAGUAUUGGACAUGUAAUGAAGAAUUAGAAAAUUCUUUAAGAAUUAUUCAUGUUGUUUGUUCUCAUGAUAAGUUGGUUGGGCCAACUAAUUAUUGAAUUGGAUCCCUCAAGAUCUGAAAAAUAUAAAAGGUGAAUAAGGGCCCGUUCACCUUUCAUGUGAUAUAUUAAAAAAAAUACAUUAAUAAGAUAAUCACAUGUACAUUUAUUGUCAACCUGUAGUUUGACAUUCAUUAAGUUGUUUGCUCAAUAAAAUAGAGUUAAGCGCAUAACUUACAGAUUGUGCAGUCAAGACAAUUCAUCUUGAUGAAAAUGGUUUGGAAUUGAAUGCCUUUAAUAAAUAGCUAAACCAUUGUUGAUGAGAACAAAGCUUCAUGUAUUCGUCUGAAAUAUGAUAUGUUGUAUACAAUAACACUUGUAUGCAUUAGACCAAUAAAUUAUGAUUAUUUCUUCCUUCUCAAUUGGUUCAAGGCCAGGAACCAACUAUUCCAUCUAAUAGUUUUGAUGUACGGUAUACGAUUAAUGAAUAUACCAUGAUGCGCAAAGAUAGAGGAUGUGUGUUAGUUUUUCUAACAGAAGGGGAAGAUUAUAAGCAGCUAUGAAAUAUGUUAGGAAUUAUCAUCAGAUCCUCAUUCAAAAGAUAAUUCAAGUCGAAUGCCGAACGCAUCUUAUAUUUAAGCUGCAAGUGCUCUUAUUUUGUGUUCAUAAAGGACAAAGUCUACGCAUACAUGAAGCAUGAUAGACUAAUCUAUUUCAAAUGAAAUAAUCUUUGAAAAAUAAAGAGCAAAUAAUCAUAAUUAGAAGGUAAUAUGCUCUUGAAAAGCCUAUGACAUAACACUUCAUGAAACCUUAUGAGAAGUUCAGGUACCAGAAAAUAAUGAAGUGAUGGGAUCUCAAAAUGUUAUGUCAUACUGUGAACCGAUAUGAAAUGAUAUAUCAUCAAUAAUAUCUUUGAUACAAUAUUGGUGCAAUAUUAUAAAGUAUUACGAGAAUCCGAAUUCUACGUUUAUUUAAGUAUGCUGACAUAGAAAUGUUUAUCAAGUGACACGAAAGAAUGAAUUUUGGUAAGUAUAAAAAUUAUUUGAUUUGUAGUCCAGACACUUGAAGAUGUCACACUUGACAUUUUGGAUAUUGUCACUUGACAAAAAUCCAUAUGAAAAUCUCUAAAGGAUUCAAAAUGCCUGAAGCAUAUAAAGUUUCUGGGGAAUUUUUAAUUAUCCUUAUAAGAGAUAAUUUGAUGAUUUGAGUAUUAUUGGAACUCUUGGAGAGUUUUCAAAAGCAAUAGAAUUUUUACUUAAAUGAGAAACAUAAUAAGGAUCUAUUCUGACCUCAAAAAAAGAAUGAGGAACUCCUUGGUUAUGAAGUACAAUAUCUUAGUGCAAUUGAUGUACUCAUGUAUCUUGCAAAUACUAUAAGACCUGAUAUAGCUCUUUUCAAUUAAUUUGUUAGCAAGUUUGUAGUCCCGAUCUUAUUGAUCAUAUUGAUGUUGGGCACUUAUCUGACCUAUAUAAAGCUUGGUCUCAAAUAGGCUAUAUGUUCAUAUGUGGUGGUACUGCCAUAUCUUGGAGAUCAACAA